rnacentral:lncRNA from 1 species
UUUACAAGCUACUAUCUUAUUUUCUAAUCUUUCACUUAGCAUCUAUAGUAUAACAACUAGCAUAAAAAUAAAUCACGUAUUUUUAGAACCACAAAAUGAAAUCUAAUUGUUAUUACCAUUUUCAAGGUAAACAAAUAUUGACAUACAAACAACUAUCUCUAAUCAGCAAAAAAAGAAAAGAAAAAGAAGACAGAACUAAUUGGAAACUGAAUGCCCACCAAAAAAGGAACUAAAUAAAAUCCCAACCGUGAUCGCCCUCUUGAAUUGCUUGGCCAUCUUAACUCCUCAACAGAGACGAUCAAAGGAUUGCAGAUCAAAAACCCACAUCCCAUACUUAAAAGGAAAUAAAAACAAAUAAAAGCUGAAACAAAUAAACUAUUGAUGAACGAAAGUGAGAGAGAAAGGUAUGAGAGAGAGGGGGGUAAGUAAUAGAGAAGAAUGAAGCCUGAAACAGGUAAUAAGAAUGCCGUUUAAUAUAUUAUUUUUACUACUAUAUAUAAAUGUGAAGGGAAGGACGAACGCAGCUAUUUCCAAUUAUACAUUCUUCAUUACUUGUGUGUAUACACUUUUAAAUUGACAAAUAUACCUGCUCCCUUUGAACUCAAUUGCUAUAGAAACACGUGUACUCUACGUGUCCAUCACAGAUAUUUUCAUCAGUUCAUCUAGAUUUUUCCAAGAUAAAGAAUUGAAAGGUUGGAUCCAAUUGAAAUGACACUGGAUGUCUUCAAUUGAAAAUCUGGUCUCCUCAUACUCAAAAUUUUCAGCUACAAAACUAUUUCUUCUUUUAACCAUUCAUCUUCUGUUUUUUUCUUUUCUGCUCCAGCUGCGUUUGUCCUUGGCUUUUAGAUUCAUUUCAAAAUUUCUCUAUUUUUCCGGUUUGUAUGUGGAUCGCUAAGUUCUAGUUAGUUUUCUUUUGUGCUUACUGCUUUUUUCUUGAUGAGUAUAUGAACACUUGAUUCUAUUUUUUUUUAGAGGUGAUUGAUUUAGAAUCUGAAUUAUGUGAUUUACAUUUUCAUUUUGCCUCUGAUUUUAUAUUUUAUGCUUUAUUAUUUUUAGUUAAGUGUGCCUGAUUUUUAUAUUAAAAUUUUCCUCUUUCUUCGUGUUUCCUUUAUGGAUUCUGUUAUACAUGUGGUUAUUUUUUAAAAUGCCUCUUUAAAAUUUUUCAGCUUUAGUAACAUGACUGCUCCCACAACGGCUACAGGAAACUGCCUCUGGGAGAAAAAUAAACUAUCAACGGUAGAGCUUUAAUGCAACCAAUGUGUUUUAUGAAAUUCUCCUAUGAAAGGAAGAUAGUUUCAACAAUUCGUUGACCUCUUCUCUGCAAUCAAUCAAAGCUUUUUACAUAUCAAUUGACACUCAUUAGAUUAGUACACUCAUAAAAGCUCUAAUUGUUAGAUCUUUGCAUCUAUUACGUGUAAACUACUUAAAGUUCUAUUAAACUUUUUGAUUUUGUUAAACUCUUCCAGACUUCCACUAAGAUAUUU